GGAUGAGAACGACUUCCUGAAGCUGCUGCGUUUGGGCCUGUUAGGGAUCUUCCUUAGAUGAAGAAACUGAGGCACAGAGGAGUGAAAUCAUUGGCUCAGUGCCCCACAUCUCUCUCCAGAGAAGGAAGAGGAAGGCGGAGCAUGGGCAGGUCACGACUGGAGAGGGAGACGGGGUCCGAAGUUGCUGAGAGAGAUAAGAGAAUGGGGAUUCAGGUUUCUCUUCUGGCCAAGCCUAACCCGGAACCACGGAUGGAAGGGCACUCUGAGACACGAGGCCCUGUCUCAGCUACGUUGUCACAAGGUGCAGCCAUUGCGGGCGCAGAGGGACGUCUUUGUCCAUCAGAUGGCGGCCCUGCCCCGCGUGUGGCCCUCAGUGGGGUCCAGCGACUUCACGAGCCUCGAGCUCCCUACUGGGGCACCGGGCUCUGCGAUGUCUGCCCCCUGACCUCAGCCAGGACCUCCUCGCCCGUCCCGGUCGCACUGCUCCUCCUCGAGCUCCUCAGGCCUCCAUGGGGCACCCUGGCCCUUGGACUUCAGUGCCCUUGGCCUGGGGUCCCCGCUCCAGGCCUCGGCCUCCAUGGCCCUGCCUCCCCCUGGAACAUUUCCCUCCCUUUCUUGUGCGUCUCCCGCACGAGGACGUCCCCUCCUCGAGGCCCCUCAGCAGGCAUCCCGGCUCGGAGCAGGCAUUCUGCCCGUGGUAACCCUCUGCCUGCAGGAGCCUUCGAGUCGGAAGAGACGGGCCGUCCGGAGGAUGCUGGCGGGAGGUGCGCCCGUCCUGCAACAGGAGGAUGAGGCCGACCCAGACGUGUGAGUGGCCGGGGAGGCCAGUCCCAGCCUGAGUCUUUGUUCUCUGUUAUUUUAUGUCUUUUUUAAAUCUCUCCAACGAUCGUGAAGUCAGUUUAGGGCUUCUUAGUCUGUUCCAGCUGCUGCAGCAAAAAUGCCAUAAACUGAGCGGCUUGUAAACAGUAAACACAUAUUUCUCACUGUUCUGGAGGACGGGAGGUCCGAGAUCAGGGUGCAGGCAGGCUCGGUGUCUGGUGAGGGCCCGCUUCCUCACAGACAGUUGUUUUUGCACGAUAAUCUCACAUGGCAGGGGGACGGGGAGGGUCUCUCUCUCUCUUUUUUUUUUUUUUUGCUGAGGAAGAUUGGCCCUGAGCUAACUUCUGUUGCCAAUCCUCCUCUUUUUUUGCUUGAGGAAGAUUGUUGCUGAGCUAACAUCUGUGCCCAUCUUCCUCUACUUUGUAUGUGGGAUGCCGCCACAGCAUGGCUGAUGAGCGGAGCAGGACCACUCUGGGAUCUGAACCCACAAACCCUGGGCCGCGGAAGCAAAAUGUGCAAACUUCACCACUCUGCCACCAGGCUGGCCCCUUUACACAUUUUUAACAGCACGGCGGUGGUGUUCCUUGUCAAGGCAAGCAGCACGUGAUCUCCUUCUAGUGCAAUAUGCCUGGCAGCCCCGUCUCCUCUGUCCCCAUUUGUCUAAUCAUGCGAGCUCCCAGAUACACCCCCCCGUACCGGCCCUGGGAGGGAGAAGAAAGCACAGGCCCAGGAGUCGGGAGAGCUGCAUCUGGCUCUGUUUCUGCCACUGACUUGCUGUGUGACUUUGGGCAAGCCCCUGGCCCUCUCUGGGCCUCAAUUUCCAGAUCUGUGCACAUUGAGAGGAUUGGACUGGAGGACGUCUCUGGGCCUUUCCAGUCCUACAUCCUGUUCCAUUCUUUCCUAAAUUGAGGUGAGUUUUCUUUGGGGAUUUGGGAGAAUUCUGAGGCUCUACCAGAGAUAACAGGAAGUGUCCUUAGGGUGGGAAGCUCUGACCCAUGGGGCUGACCCCCCAGAGUCACUCUGUCCCCACCUGGGUGAGCCAGCGCCACAGAGGACAGCCCUGCCCUGGGGCCACCCAGUUGUGGCCCAUUCACGAAGCACCAGAAGGCACUGGCUGUCCCGGGAGGCAUCCGGGCCUCGGGGCGCAGACGCGGGGCACCUCCUGUCUCCUCCAGCAACGCCUGGCACAGCGAGGCCCCAGGGCCUUUGCUCGCGCCGGCCUCCCUCCCGGCCAAUUAACCGUUAACCUGAGCCCAGCAGGUCACAACGCAGCCAGGCCUUUCUUGAAAGUCUUCCCGUGUUCUCGUUGUGGCUCCCAGUCCCGUGGUUCACUGUCCACAACCCGUGGGGCAGAAACCAAGGUCAGACAGCUUGUGGUUCGGGGACCUGGGUUCAAAUCCAGGUCUUUGGAUUCUGACUCCUCCAUUUACCAGGUUAGUCUCUCUGUGCCUCAGUUUACUCAUCUGGAAAAUGGGGAUUCAUAAUCGUAUCUGCCUCACGGGGCAUCCAUAUGGAUUCAAUGAGGUCAUGUAUGUAAAGAGCUUCACAUAGCGUCCAGCACACAGUGGGGGUGAUUCUGUGCUGCUGCCGUCCUCCCCCACCCUCCGGGCCUGAGCUCAAGUCCCACUCGGAACUCACCCGUGUGAGUCCCUCCCGGGCCCCAGGAGCUGCAUGCGGCACCUUCACAUACGUGUUCCAUGAACGCCUUUCACUGUGGAAUUAUAACUGCAGAACAUAAGCUAUAGGAAACCUUAUUUAAUUUCCUAAUUUAAAAUCUUUCUUUCUUUCUUUCUUUUUUUUUUUUUUUUUGGUGAGGAAGAUUGGCCCUGAGCUAACAUCUGUUGCCAGUCUUCCUCUUUUUUUUGGUUUUCUCCCCAAAGCCCCCUGGUACAUAGUUGUAUUUUUAGUUGUGGGUCCCUCUAGUUGUGGCAUGUGGGACGCCGCCUCAGCAUGGCUUGAUGAGCAGUGUCAUGUCCGCACCCAGGAUCCGAACCGGCAAAACCCUGGGCCGCUGAAGCAGAGCGCCUGGACCUAACCACUCAGCCAUGGACCCAAGCUCUAAUUUUAAUUUUUAAUUACUAAAUUCUAAUUAAAAUUUCUUGAGAUUUUUAACUGAAUCACUUGAUUUGAAGUUUAAUUGAAAGAACAAAUUUUAAUGUUUUAAUCAAUCAUUUUAAUUUAACUUUAAUCAAUACAUUUAAAUUCGUAACUUUAUAAUUUUAUCAAUACAUUUUAAUGUUUUCAUUUAAUUAGUGUUUCCAUGUCAUUUUAGUGAGUAAGUUUAAAUUUUAAUGAAUAUGUUUUCAUAUAAAUUUUUAAAUUUUGUAGAAAAUUAAAACCCUCCCUGAGGACGCCAAAGGCCUCCUGGAGCCAUCGCCCAUGCCAGCCCCCUCCCCAGAAGGAACCGCCAUCUCUCCGGGGUCCCCAUGUGCAUGCAUCUCCUGACCCCCUAACUCCUUCCCCCCCAUCCGCCCCCACCCCACAGGCCAGACCAUGAAGAGCAUCUUCAGUCGUCAUGGUGACAGAUACUGCUGGCUGCCCACCCAAUGGUCAUCACCUCCCCUUCCCUCACCUUGCCUUGGCUAAUAGAUCCCCAGUUUGGUUUUGGGUGGUGACAUGGCCCAUCCUGGGGCACUGAUCAUAAUUGCCCAAGCCAAUUGAUCUGUCCCAUCCCUCUUGUCAGUUACACGCUUGUUUGGCUAUGUGACAUCCCCCACCCACCCGCCACCUCCCUGCUCCAGCCAAGACUGCUUGGAGGAUUUCUGAAGAAAGUCAGUCAAUUAUCUCCUGCCACAGGAAUGCUGUGUAAGACGCAACCACCGAACCUUGGUGGAGGAUAAGAGUGAGCGUUUCCUGCUCGUGCCCCUGGAGUGAGCCGGGGGCGGGCUCAGUGGCUCUGCGGGUCUUGGCGGGGCUCGCUCGCAGGUCUGGCGAGUGGAGGUGUUGAGUGAGGGAGACUGGGCCUGGGCCGCUAGAGCAGCUCGACGGCUCCACGCGCCUCUCUCGCCCGCCUGCAAGCCAGCCCAGCCUCACAAGCCCAACUCAAGCUUCUGCUGGUGUCACGUCUCCUGAUGCCCCACCGGCCAGGGCUGAGCCCAGAGCCAGAGUAGGAGGGCGCCACCAAGUUUCAAGGCCAAGGCAUGGAUCCAGGGAAAAGAGGAGAACAGGGCAGUGUUUGCAAUCUACCAGAGAAACUCUUUCUGGAUAAAAAUAUCGAGACUCUAAGAAGAAAGGCUUUUGCUAUUGCUUUCUACCUUUCCCACUUGGGACAAUGGAGCAGAUACGUGAUGGUUGGAGCUGCAGCAGCCAUCUUGUGACCAUGAGGCAACAAGCAUGAGGAUCAAAAACAUGAGUACUCUGAGAACAGCAGAGCAGAAGGAUAUGAAAGCCUGAUGAUGUGGCUGAGCUGUGGAACCAUCCCUGGCCACCUACCUCCAGUCAUUGUUGGUUGAGUGUUAUUUUUUCCUGUAGCCAAACUCAUCCUAACAGAUAUCGCUUGAUUCUAGGGCUGCUGAGCAUGCCCUUUUUCAAGAAAUGCCUAUCUCUAUCCCAGCCUCUACCUCAGUGCUUGACAUUUGUAUUUUCCAAAUCUAGCCACAAAACAUGUCCCACUCCACAUGCUCUUUUUUUUUUUUUUUUUUUGGUGAGGAAGAUUGGCCCUGAUCUAAUAUCUAUGUCAAUCUUCCUCUAUUUUGUACGUGGGAUGCUGCCACAGCAUGGCUUGAUGAGGGGUGUGUGGUUCCAGCCUGGGAUCCAAAAGUGCAAAUCCCAGCUUGCCAAAGCAGAGGGCGCAAACCUAACCACUACACCACCAGGCCAGCCCCUCACAUGCUCUUCUUACAAUGUGACUUUGGCGUAUCUCCUGCUACGAGUUGGGGUUCUAGGUUCCUUACCCUUGAAUCCGGGCAGGCUUGGGUCUAUAGCAGAAGUGACCUGUUACAGGUUGAACGGUGUCCCUCCCCCACCCCAAAUUUCUCUAUUGGAGUCCCAACUCUCGACACCUCAGAAUGUAACCUUGCUCAGAAAUAGGGUUGGCGACCUCACACAAAGGAGACCCCUGGACACAGACGCGCACACGGGGAGAGAGCCAUGUGAAGGUGGAGGCAGAGAUGGGGGUGACGCAGCCACAGCAACGAACCCCAAGGUCGGCCAGCAAACCACGGGAGCUGGAGAGAGGCUGGACCGGGCUCCCCCUCGGCCUCGGGGGGACCAGCUGACACCUGCAUCCUGGACCUUGAGCCGCCGGAGUUAGAAGCGAGACAGUUAGUCUCGGUGCUUUAAGCCACGCGGUUUGCGGGACUUUGUCACCACAGGCCCACCCUGUCGCUGGAACAGAGUGUCGCCACGAGGACAACAGCCUUGCUGAGUUCUCUGGGUCCUUCCAGCAAACCCUUCACCCUGCGGGUGGCCUUGGGGACCCCGAGGUUCCGCCCAGCCCUUCACACGCUGGGUUGUCCCUCCCCGGUCACGCCUGCCCACCCACCCCGCCACGGCGCCAUCCCCACGCCCCGGGAGGAAGCCGCUGGGCUCUCAGCUCCCUUUCCCCAGGACGGAAGGAAAAGUCUGAGAACUCACUUACACUCGGGAUUCAACCACGAUUCUCAUUUGACUUCAUGUUGUUUUCAAUGACUUUAUUGAGGUCAUGUUGGUUUAUAACAUUGUGCAAUUUCAGGUGCACGUUAUUACAUAUCAGCUUCGGUGUAGACUGCAUCGUGCUCACCACUGAUGGUCUGGUUUUUAUCCAUCACUAUAUAUAUGCGCCCGUUUAUCUCUCUCACCUUACCCCCAGCCCCUUUCUCUCUGGUAACCACUAAUCUGUUCUCUUUAUCCGUGUAUUUUUUAUCUUCCACAUAGGAGUGAAAUCACAUGGCGUUUGUCUUUCUCUGUCUGGCUUAUUUCGCUUAAUGUCAUUCCCUCAAGGUCCAUCCAUGUUGUUGCAAAUGGGACGAUUCUGUCCUUUUUAUGGCUGAGUAGUAUUCCACUCUCUCUCUAUACCAUGUCUUUGUUAUCCAUUCAUCCAUAGAGGGGAACUUAGGUUGUUUCCACAUCUUGGCCAUUGUGAAUAAUGCUGCUGUGAACCUAGGGGAGCAUGAGUCUCUUUCCCUGAUUCUUUUUUUUUUUUGAGGAAGAUUAGCCAAUCCUCCUCUUUUUGCUGAGGAAGACUGGCCCUGAGCUAACAGCGUGCCCAUCGUCCUCUACUUUAUACAUGGGACGCCUACCACAGCAUGGCGUGCCAAGUGGUGCCAUGUCCGCACCCGGGAUCUGAACCAGCGAACCCCGGGCCACCAAAAUGGAACAUGUGCACUUAACCCCUGCACCACCAGGCCAGCCUCUCCUUGAUUCUUAUUUUAAGAGCCUCGAGCUGGUAGGAUGGAAGGAUGGGGGUCAAGCAAGUGAGAAAUGAAGGGGAGACCAGCGGAGCCGGGAAAAUCCCAGUGUUCCGGCUCACAUUCCAGGGUCGUCUUCCUGGGGCCCCGGGGAUGUCACUCCAGACGCAGACAGGGGCCCCUGCACUGUUCAGAAUGCCGCUCGUGCAACGGCUCUCACGCUUGAGUGACUGUCCCCUCGGGGACAUUCUGGGUGCCCCAAGGCAGGAAGGGGUGCUCGGGCCUCUGGUGGGUGAAGGCCAGGGGGGUGCUGACACCCGACGGUGCACAGGCCCCCGCGGCACAGGGCGACCUGAGCCCCAGGGUCAGGAGGUGGAGGCCAGGAGCUCCCCACAGCCAACCGAACAAAGUCCAAAAUCUCCCGCACUGUCAUGGGCCGUUGAAGUCGCCUCUUCUGUGAAAUGAGGUGAGUUACAGGACGGACACGUGGGGCUGUUGUCGGGAUGAAGUGAGAUGAUUCUCAGAGGAGGGCGUGUGCGCGAUCGCGAGGUUCAAGUGUUUCCCGUGACGGCUGCUGGGCUGUUAUUUGUAUUAUUAUUCUUAUUUCUCAUCAGUCUCGGAGCUUCGAUCUGCUGCCUCCAGAUCUAAAAAUUUAGACCCCUCUCUGAAUUUCCCAGGCUUGCUUUCCCUUUCGUAGCCUAAUUACUCUGGUAAUUUUUUUUUUUUUUUUUUUUUUUUUGCUGAGGAAGACUGGCCCUGAGCUAACAUCUGUGCCCAUCUUCCUCUAUUUUGUAUGUGGGACGCCUGCCACAGCAUGGCUUGAUGAGCAGUGCACAGGUCCACACCCAGGAUCCAAACCCAUGAACCCUGGGCGGCCAAAGCAGAGCACACAAACUUAACCACUGCACCACUUGGCCGGCCCCCCGGUGAUAUUUUUUUAGCAAAGUGUCUGGCACGUGGGGAGCAACUGUCACCCCUGGGCUCACCGAAUGCGUAAUCUAUUAGCCCUUUAAGACGCAGAUCAGCUCUGAAACUUUUUUUCUCUGCUAUAGAUAAAAACAGAACCUUUUCCUUCCUCCUACAGCCGUGGAAGCUGAGCUCCUCCUUCAGAAUCAACCGAAAGCUGCCAGUGUUGUUUUUCCAGUGUUUGGGGCCGCGUGAUUUCCCAACACUGAUUUCCUACGUGCCAGACCCUGCUGGGUUACGAGAGACACAGAGAUGAGUAACAGAGUGUCUUACGUCUGGAUUUGGCAAGACGGUCAGAUACCAAGGGACUGAGGAUUUUUAAUCUACUCGUUCAACCGAGAAGUAUUUACUGAACACCCGUGGUGGUGAAAACGAUGGGCUUGUCCCCACCUCCGCCUCUGCCCAGCUGUGCAGCCUUGAGAAAGUGACUUAACCUCUCUGAGCCGGAUUCCUCAUCUGGAAAAUAGGGAGGAUGAGAAUAUUUCUAUCUCAUCAAGAGGUUGUGAGGAGUGAGUUAAAAGAAGCAGAGCUUGAUAACUGUUUCCUAUUUCUAUUAUAUAUUAUAAUUAGGGCAACCCACAGUCCCAGUUUGCCUGGAGUUGAGGAGUUUCCAGGGACACGGGGCUUUCAGGGCUAAAAUCAGGAAAGUUCUGGGCCCAUUGGGAUGUUGGUCAUCCUGAUAUAAUUAUAUAUUAUUACUAAUAGUAUUUAUUAUUAUUAUUAUUAUUAUUAUAGCUGAUGAUGUCUUGACAAGUGCUGCGGGGGACGGACUGUUGAAUGAGGCCAGGUCACGCUUGCAAGGAGCAUGCGGUCUGGUAGGAGAAGCAGAAGAGUUACAAAAACAGAGAAUAGAAUAAUGAGAUGGGGGCCGGCCCGGGGCCGAGUGGUUAAGUUCGUGCGCUCUGCUUCAGUGGCCCAGGGUCUCGUCAGUUCGGAUCCUGAGCACGGACAUGGCACCACUCGUCAGGCCAUGCUGAGGCGGCGUCCCACAUGCCACAACUAGAAGGACCCACAACUAAAAAUACACAACUUUGUACCAGGGGGCUUUGGGGAGAAGCAGAAAAAAAGAGGAAGAUGGGCACAGAUGUUAGCUCAGGGCUAAUCUUCCUCAGCAAAACAAAACAAAACAAAAAAAAAGAGUGUACAAUUCAGGGGCAUUUUGUACAAUUACAACGUUGAACAACCAUCACUCCUAUCUAGUUCCAGAACAUUUUCAUCCCCCUAAAAGGAAACCCCUUACUCAUUAAAUAGUCACUCCACAUUCCCCGACCCCCAUCUCGGGGCAACCCCUAAUCUACUUGCUGUCUCUCUGGAUUUGCCUGUUCUGGACAUUUCACAUAAAUGGAACCAUGUGGUCGAUGACCUUGUGUGUCCGGCUUCUUUCACUCAGUGGGAUGUUUUCAAGGUUCAUCCAUGUUGUAGCAUCUAUGAGAGCUUCGCUCCUUUUCACGGCUGCAUAAUAUUCCACCGUAUGGCUAUACCAUGUUCCAUUUAUCCAUUCACCUGUGGAUGGGCAUGUGGGUUGUUUCCACCUUUUGGCUAUCAUGGCUGGCGCUGACUCGAGUUUUUUAAGGCAUUUUUCUCCAGGAGGGCUGUCUUGAUGGGAAAUGCCCCUCCACACACCAACCUUAAAAAUAGGUCUCCACUUAAAAACAGGGGAAAAAGGCCAUUUGCACAGAUGCCAGCGUCUCCUCCAGACAGGGAGAAGCUGCCAUUUUGAGGCUGGUUCUGGUGACCUUCCGCCUCCCACUGCUUUCCUCCUGUGGGUGUCACCGGGGUUGGAGAUGCGUGGCCCGUGUGAGACUGGAAGCCCUCCCACAGGCGGGAAUUCUCAGUCUGUUCUGGGCACAUGGUGAGCACCUGGCAAACCAGUAUGUGAUAGUGAAGCACAGGCACAGAUCCCUCUCUGAGAUUUUCUAGCCUUUUUUUUUUUUUUUUUUUUUUUUUUUUUUGCUGAGGAAGAUUGGUCCUCAGCUAACAUCUAUGCUGAUCUUCCUCUGUUUUACAUCGGAUGCGGCCACAGUGUGGCUUGACGAGCAGUGCUAGGUCCACACCCAGGAUCCAAACCUAUGAACCCCAGGCCGCCAAAGCAGAGCACACAAACUCAACCACUACACCACCAGCCCAGCCCUCUUAAAAAUUUUUUAAAAUGAAAUAUUGAGCAGAUAUUUAAAAAAAUAAAAUAUAUAUAAGAUAUAAAGAAUAAGAACAAAAUAAAUAUCCAUGGGCCCCUCACUCAAUUUAAGAAAAAACUUCCGCAUCCUCUGAAGCUCCCCUGGGGGCCCUUCUCCGUCUCAUUCCCCUCCCUCGCCCCUCAGAGGUAACCACUUUGCUAAACCUUGUGUUUGUCUUCCCCUCACUUUUAAAAGAUAAUCUACAAUAUAUUUGUGUCCCUAAACUGUACCCUGUGUGGUUUCGUCCGUGUUUUGAAAUUUUAUAAGCACAUCUGUAUUGUCGUGUGUAACUGAAAGCAACUGAUUUUUCACAGCUGUAUAAUAUUCCAUUGAAUAAAU
ensembl:lncRNA